GGUCCCCAGAUAUUCUUGGGCUAAAACUUCCAUAAGCCUUCACCACUAGCCAGGUUGGCCAGGAUUUCUGGGAGUUGAAGUCCAGGACCAUCUGGGAAUUAAAGAGUUACACAGCAGUAUGGAAAAAGGGACAGUUGCCUAAAGUAUUAUAUUAGUAUUAUAUCAUGUGUAUUCUGAUAAGAUGGACCGUAGUCUACAAAAGCUUAUGGGGCAUGCAAUUUGCUAAUAUAUAAGAUGUCAGAAGACUCUUUGUGUGGUACUUCCCCUGGCCCAAAUGUUUGAAGAAGUCACUUGUCUAGGUGAACAGAAACCCACAUAGAUUGCCUUGUUUUGUUUGUUUAUUUUCCACCUCUCUCUUUUUUGUUCUUGUUAAAAACAUGUUUUUCUUCCCCAACCAGUGAGUAAGGGAUCAAAGGCUCUAAAGCCGUGAUGAAAUACAAGGUUAAAAAUGGGAAUGUUUUUGUAAUGUGUAUGUCUUUAUAAUAUGGAAUUUGUUUGAGUGUUGCACACACACACACACACACACACACACACACACACACACACACACACACAGAGAGAGAGAGAGAGAGAGAGAGAGAGAGAGUCUAGUAUCCUGUUGGAUUUGCCCAGUGUAAGUAGGUAAUCACAUAUGAACCUACCUAUGUAUGCUCUUAUCUUGCCCUCAAGGCCAUCUGAUCCAUAGCCUGAAGGAGAUGGUUCCGGACUGAAUUAGAUGCAUGGCGAUACAAUGGAUGACAAGCCAGAAGGAAAACAAAAACCUGCCGGGCAAUUACAAUGACCUUUGGAACGUAACGUGGGACUGCACUGUACAUGGGAGAUUUAGAUGGAGCUGUGUGAUACCAGUGAUGUCCAUUAUACUUUCUUCUGCUACAGAAGACAAAGAAGCUGACUGAAGAGUGGUUGGGUUAAAAUAAAUUUCAAGGAACAAAAGUUAGAGCA
rnacentral:lncRNA from 1 species